UGCAACAGGCCCUGCUGAAUGUUGUCUCCAUUCCUUUUACUCCACCUGUAGGAACUGUAAGGCUGCCAUGAACCUUCUUUUCACCAGGCUGCCCAAGUGAAGUUCUCUCAGCCCAGGAGAGGUGUUCCAGCCUUCUGAGCACCUUCCUCUGGACAGGCUCCAACAGAUCCGUGUCUUUUCUCUACAUUCCUACCUAUUGGUCAACCGGUCAAAUGCAGCAGAUGCCAGUAAAGACCACUCACAAAGCCUGGAGGCUGAGGACGGUGCUCACAGAAACAUGGAAUCCUCAGCAACGAACUCCAAGUCUGAUCUACUGUAAAGACUGA
rnacentral:lncRNA from 1 species